rnacentral:snRNA from 1 species
GUGUUCGCUUUGGCAACACGUAUAGUAAAAUUAGAACAAUACAGAAAAGACUUGCAUGGCCCCUGUGCUAGGAUGAUAUGCAAAUUCAUGAAGCAUUUUAUAAAAAU